GGGAGCUCACGCUCAACUGGUGCCUCGGGAUCACGGAUUUGGGGGUCCAGCUCCUCGCCCUCAAGUGCAAGAAACUCAGGACCCUGCAUCUUUCCUACACCAUGAUCUCCAAAGACUGCCUUCCAGCCAUCAUGAAGCUACCCAAUCUUAAGGUAUUGGCACUGGUGGGAUGUGUUGGAAUAGAUGAUGAUGCCCUUAGUGGUCUUGAGAAUGAAUGCAGCAAAUCACUACGGGUGCUCGAUAUGUCAACCUGUCGGAAUGUCACUCAUGCGGGAGUUUCAUCAGUUGUGG